GAUGAGCAGUGCCAUGUCCGCGCCCAGGAUUCGAACCAACGAAACACUGGGCCGCCUGCAGCGGAGCGCGCGAACCCAACCACUCGACCACGGGGCCAGCCCCCAGAAAUUUACACGUGGAACUCAUGCAUCUUCAUUUUCCUCCUUCCUGGAGGGUGGAUACAGCCCAAAGGAUACUAGGAAUGGUGCAAAGAUGCUGAGGAAAUUGGAGUCAUUUGGAAACUUCUGUUCUAAGGGGAAGGUUCUAUAUGUCAGAAGAUGCCAAAAGGUCUCAAGAAGAUUACAUGGUACCUCUAGAGGUGUUCGAUGUGUUGACAAAUUCACACCUCCUAUAUUCCCUGAUUCUAUUAAGAUGACCUACUUUAAAGGUUUAUUUUCCGCAUUGCAGAAGCCAUUAAACGAGUCUAUGCAAGCAAUUAAAGAGCAUUGCGUGGGAUCUGCUGAAAGCACGAAUAUAUUCAGUUGUCCUGGUUUUAAAUCAAUAAACUAACAUGGAUUUGGAAUUAACACCCACAUGGUGGACAAGCUCACCUUGCUUAAAAAACAAGCUAUUUCUAUUAGCUCUGAUCUCAAAACUAAUGAAAGUCAACAGUGAUUUUUAUCUUGAUCCUAG
rnacentral:lncRNA from 1 species